CCUACGGGAGGCUGCAGUGGGGAAUAUUGGACAAUGGGGGGAACCCUGAUCCAGCGACGCCGCGUGAGUGAAGAAGUAUUUCGGUAUGUAAAGCUCUAUCAGCAGGGAAGAAAGAAAUGACGGUACUUGACUAAGAAGCCCCGGCUAACUACGUGCCAGCAGCCGCAGUAAUACGUAGGUGGCAAGCGUUAUCCGGAUUUACUGGGGGUAAAGGGAGCGUAGACGGCGAUGCAAGUCUGAAGUGAAAGGCGGGGGACCAACCCCCGGACUGCUUUGGAAACUGUAUGGCUGGAGUGCAGGAGAGGUAAGUGGAAUUCCUAGUGUAGCGGUGAAAGGCGUAGAUAUUAGGAGGAACACCAGUGGCGAAGGCGGCUUACUGGACUGUAACUGACGUUGAGGCUCGAAAGCGUGGGGAGCAAACAGGAUUAGAUACCCGGGUAGUC
rnacentral:rRNA from 1 species